rnacentral:rRNA from 1 species
CCGGCGUAGCCGAUGCACAGACGGUAGAGAUUCCGUCACCACCAAAAGAGUUAAGCACAGGGACACAUAUGAAAUCUCGGAGCCGGGUGUUGGUUCCGGUAGCGAUCGAGGGAAGUUAGUACCGAAGUCCGGGAUGGAAGAUGGCGAGAAAAGCUGUGUGUAUUUCUGCGGUGCCCGUACCGCAAACCGACACAGGUAGGUAGGAAGAAGAUUCUAAGGCCAACGGGAGAAGGGUUGUUAAGGAGCUCGGCAAAUUGACCCCGUAACUUCGGGAGAAGGGGUGCUGCAGCAAUGCAGCCGCAGAGAAUCGGCCCAAGCAACUGUUUACCAAAAACACAGGUUUGUGCUAAAUCGAAAGAUGACGUAUACGAGCUGACGCCUGCCCGGUGCUGGAAGGUUAAGAGGAGAUGUGCAAGCAUUGAAUCGAAGCCCCAGUGAACGGCGGCCGUAACAAUAACGGUCCUAAGGUAGCGAAAUUCCUUGUCAGGUAAGUUCUGACCCGCAUGAAAGGCGUAAUGAUUUGGGCACUGUCUCAACAGCCCGCCCGGCGAAAUUGUAGUACCGGUGAAGAUGCCGGUUACCCGCGACAAGACGGAAAGACCCCAUGGAGCUUUACUGUAGCCUAAUAUUGGGUUUCGAUGUUGCAUGCACAGGAUAGAUGGGACACAGGGAAGCAGGUGCUUUGGCGCUUGUGGAGUGGCCGUUGGGAUACCAUCCUUGCGAUAUUGGAAUUCUAACCUGCGCCUUUGAAUCAAGGCGGGGGACAUUGUUAGGUGGGCAGUUUGACUGGGGCGGUCGCCUCCUAAAGAGUAACGGAGGCGUUCAAAGGUUCGCUCAGCUUGAACGGAAAUCAAGCAAAAGAGUGCAAACGCAGAAGCGAGCCUAACUGCGUGACUGACGGGUCGAGCAGUAACGAAAGUUGGAGUUAGUGAUCCGGUGGUAUGUGAGUGGAAAUGCCAUCGCUCAACGGAUAAAAGUUACCCUGGGGAUAACAGGCUGAUCUCCCCCAAGAGUCCACAUCGACGGGGAGGUUUGGCACCUCGAUGUCGGCUCAUCGCAUCCUGGGGCUGUAUUCGGUCCCAAGGGUUUGGCUGUUCGCCAAUUAAAGCGGUACGCGAGCUGGGUUCAGAACGUCGUGAGACAGUUCGGUCCCUAUCUGUCGUGGGCGCAGGAUAUUUGAUGGGAGCUGUUCCUAGUACGAGAGGACCGGAGCGGACGUACCUCUGGCGCACCAGUUGUUCUGCCAAGAGCAUAGCUGGGCAACUAUGUACGGAUCGGAUAAACGCUGAAAGCAUCUAAGCGUGAAGCCGACCCAAAGAUAAGAUAUCCCAUUGUUUUAAACAAGUAAGACCCCUUGAAGACUACAAGGUUGAUAGGCACGAUGUGUAAGUGGAGCGAUCCAUUCAGCAAGCGUGUACUAAUAGGUCGAGGGCUUGACCAA